CCUCCCUCUUCCAGCCCUGAGCAAUGAGCACACCCGGAAAUACAAGGGCCUUUAACUCCUGCACUGCCUGCCCUGGCCAGUCCCCCCUCCCCGCUCUGUGCCACAGUCCAGCCAAGAGGUAAUCCCAUUAACCCCAGCACACCCUGGUCUCAGAACAAGGCAAAUGGAAUCCUGCAUUACCUUCCAGUCAGAACACUAGUGCCUGUAUAAUAUUCACUCCCAGAGCGUACCAUGCUGGGACAACUACACCUACAGUACAAGCAACACUGAAGCCAGACAGUUCUGCAAAAGCUAACUUCCACCAGGCUACUGGUAAAUGGCAACAAAAUAUAAAACAUCUCAAGUUUCGUCAAGAGUGUGGAAGAUAAUCGGAGCACCCAGAGGAAAGUUAUGCAAGCACAGAGAGAACAUACAAACCCCACACAAAAAAUCUGCCUAGCAUCACAACGGUCCUGGAAAUGAUAAUGCAGUUUUGGCAACUGUGGAAAUGGGCAACAUAAUCAAAUAUUUACAGUACUUAUUUUUACAUUGUUGUGUUCUGUAGGGUUUCCUGAGGAGGUAAACAGUGUUAAGCUGGGUAUACAUUAGAUGAUGUGUACCCAGCACGUCAUCACGGGGGAGACAGGACCGGACGGGAGAACCGGCAUCAACAAAUGCAUACACACUUGCCGAUGCUGGCAGCAACGGUGGUGGACAUGCUACAUUCUGCAGCAUGGACCUGACUAGCGAUACUGCAAGACUGAGCUACAUGCAGGUCCAACGGGCGAUGUCGCUGACGACCCGCGGGAGCGCACAUCGUCAGCAACAUAAAGGGUAAACACUGGACGAUUUAAACAAUUUGUCAUUACGAUCUGUCGGAAUCUGGAAAAUCGUUUAAAAAAAACGUGUAAUGUGUACCCAGCUUUACUCUCACUUCUUCAUAAUAAUUCUGUAAUUGGGCGCUGCGUAACCCUUGUGGCGCCAUAUAAAUAGUAGUGAUGAGCGGAUUCGGUUUUACUCGGUUUUACUCGGUUCUCAAAACCGAAUCUUAUUGGCUCACUGAUGUCACGUGUU